UACGGGGGGGCAAGCGUUGUUCGGAAUUACUGGGCGUAAAGGGCUCGUAGGCGGCCAACUAAGUCGGACGUGAAAUCCCCAGGCUCAACCUGGGAACUGCGUCCGAUACUGGAUGGCUUGAAUUCGGGAGAGGGAUGCAGAAUUCCACGUGUAGCGGUGAAAUGCGUAGAGAUGUGGAGGAACACCAGUGGCGAAGGCGACUCUUUGGCCUGUAACUGACACUGAGGCGCGAAAGCGUGGGGAGCAAACAGGG
rnacentral:rRNA from 1 species